rnacentral:rRNA from 1 species
AUUGAACGCUGGCGGCAGGCCUAACACAUGCAAGUCGAACGAGUGGCGGACGGGUGAGUAAUGUCUGGGAAACUGCCUGAUGGAGGGGGAUAACUACUGGAAACUGUAGCUAAUACCGCAUACCCUCGGAUGUGCCCAGAUGGGUUUAGCUAGUAGGUGGGGUAACGGCUCACCGAGGCGACGACCCCUAGCUGGUCUGAGAGGAUGACCAGCCACACUGGGACUGAGACACGGUCCAGACUCCUACGGGAGGCAGCAGUGGGGAAUAUUGCACAAUGGGCGCAAGCCUGAUGCAGCCAUGCCGCGUGUAUGAAGAAGGCCUUCGGGUUGUAAAGUACUUUCAGCGGGGAGGCGUUACCCGCAGAAGAAGCACCGGCUAACUCCGUGCCAGCAGCCGCGGUAAUAC